rnacentral:rRNA from 1 species
CCCUAAGAUGUCCUGGGCCGCACGCGCGCUACACUGACGCACGCAACAAGUUCAUCCUAACCCGAAAGGGGAUGGGUAAUCUUCUUAAAAUGCGUCGUGCUAGGGAUUGAUCUUUGCAACUCUGGAUCAUGAACGAGGAAUUCCUAGUAAUGUUGUGUCAUCAACGCGACAUGAUUAAGUCACUGCUCUUUGUACACACCGCCCGUCGCUCCUACCGAUUGAGUGGUCCGGUGAACUUUUUGGACUUGGCGCCUAGCGUCCGGGGAAGUUAAGCAAAUCUUAUCACUUAGAGGAAGGAGAAGUCGUANCA